GAACUUUGUAUAGAGGUAACCCAAUGUAAAGCGCAUUUCAGCAGUCCAAACUUGAGAUCACCAGCACAUGCACCACCAUCUUUAGGUUC
rnacentral:snoRNA from 11 species